AUUGAACGCUGGCGGCAUGCCUUACACAUGCAAGUCGAACGGCAGCACGGGAGCAAUCCUGGUGGCGAGUGGCGAACGGGUGAGUAAUGUAUCGGAACGUGCCCAGUCGUGGGGGAUAACGUAGCGAAAGCUACGCUAAUACCGCAUACGAUCUAUGGAUGAAAGCGGGGGACCGUAAGGCCUAGCGCGAUUUGAGCGGGCGAUACCAGAUUGGGUAGUUGGUGGGGUAAAGGCCUACCCAGCCGACGAACUGUAGCUGGUCUGAGAGGACGACCAGCCAGACUGGGACUGAGACACGGCCCAGACUCCUACGGGAGGCAGCAGUGGGGAAUUUUGGACAAUGGGCGCAAGCCUGAUCCAGCAAUGCCGCGUGCAGGAUGAAGGCCUUCGGGUUGUAAACUGCUUUUGUACGGAGCGAAAAGGCUCUCUCUAAUACAGGGGGCUCAUGACGGUACCGUAAGAAUAAGCACCGGCUAACUACGUGCCAGCAGCCGCCGCGGUAA
rnacentral:rRNA from 1 species